rnacentral:rRNA from 1 species
UACGUAGGGGGCAAGCGUUGUCCGGAAUUAUUGGGCGUAAAGAGCGCGUAGGCGGUCCGUUAAGUCGGCUGUGAAAGUCAAGGGCUCAACCCUUGAAAGCCGGCCGAUACUGUCGGACUAGAGUCCGGAAGAGGCGAGUGGAAUUCCCGGUGUAGCGGUGAAAUGCGCAGAUAUCAGGAGGAACACCAAUGGCGAAGGCAGCUCGCUGGGACGUGACUGACGCUGAGACGCGAAAGCGUGGGGAGCAAACAGG